UACGGAGGGUGCAAACGUUGCUCGGAAUCAUUGGGCGUAAAGCGCACGUAGGCGGCCUGUUAAGUCGGGUGUGAAAGCCCUGGGCUCAACCCAGGAAGUGCACUCGAAACUGGCGGGCUUGAAUAUGGAAGAGGGUCGCGGAAUUCCCGGUGUAGAGGUGAAAUUCGUAGAUAUCGUCUGGAACGCCAAAGGUGAAAACAGCUCGCUGGGGUUGUGCUGACGCUGAGACACGAAAGCCAGGGGAGCGAACGGG
rnacentral:rRNA from 1 species